CUUUAAACCUCUGUGAGUACCAAGGAAGUAGGUACUCAUAUUUCUACUUUACAUAUAUGAGGAAGCUGAGGCAAAAAAGAGAUUAAUUUGCCCAGUACUAUACAACUGUUAAGUGGUAGAGCUAAAAUGCAAAUGUAAAUAAUCUGACUCCAAAGGCUGUACUUUUUUGUACUAGAAUAUACUACCUCUUUACUAUACCAUAACCUCUUUUUUUCUUGUCAGUCUUACAGAACAGGAUAUAUUAUUUGUUAACUUAGGUAUCUUGUGGCCUGGCACCUAUAACUUUUAAGCUAUCUUAAAGUAGAUUGUUCUUAACAGAUAAAUUGGUGAUUGUUCAAUGUAUUUUCUUCAAAUCCUAUAAGAAGAGAAAAAUCUGUCAUGAUGGGAAUUACAUUUAUUUUUUAGGUUGGUGAAUGUCAUUGUUGGCUCCAUGUUUAGAUUUCUGUAUAAUUUAAAUUUACAUUGGCAUAAAUGUAAUUUUUUUAUUAUCAGUUUGGAUUUAGGUGGCGAGUAGAAAAAGAAGUAAUUUCAGGAAAAGGUCAAUUUUUCUGUGGAAAUAAAUAUUGUGAUAAAAAAGAAGGCUUAAAGAGUUGGGAAGUUAAUUUUGGUUAUAUUGAGCAUGGUGAGAAGAGAAAUGCACUUGUU
rnacentral:lncRNA from 1 species